rnacentral:rRNA from 1 species
CGCUGAACUUAAGCAUAUCAA